GUCGCGACGGCGCAGACAGUGACAUCAUCAGAUGGUGCAGGCAAGGGCCACGUGGAAGACCGACAAAGAAAGACUGAACAAGUAUAUUUGCUGUGUGCACAAAAAAGAUUUCUAGGUGGCUUUGCGUUCUUUUCUUUCGAGAUGGUGCUGACACAAGCGUGUUACGCUGCGGUGGACUUUUCAGCGAGCCGAUGCCCUCCAGGCUUCCUCCGAGGAACUCAUCCCGAGCGACAUGGAGAAGGUUGCAUAGUCCACUUGUGAAAACCAGGGUUUCCAUCCAUAAAAGAGAAGCCAGAGGUGGGGAGAGGAUCUUGCCUUGUGGCACAGGCUGACCUGGAGCCUGUGAUCCUCCUGCCUCUGCCCCCGAAAUGCUGGGACUGCAUGCAAUGUGUGCACUGCUGUGCCUCAGUUGAAUUGGAGACUUGAUCAACAGCUGGAAACAGAGGCCAAGAGGCAGGUAGGAGCUGUUUCAGCAUGCAUUGGAUUUUAUCUGGAGAAAAAAUGGGAUCUGGCAAUUGUAGAUGAAAACUCUUGUGAUGAUAAGUGAACAUGCACAGCUGUUGAAGUCUGUCAGGAGGCCUUAGGUUCCAGGGAAUGACCUGGUUGCACACAGGAUCCUGGCCUCAGGUGCUCACUGCAGAGUCUGCUGUGUGUGUGGGGUGAGGCUGGCCAGAGCCCUUUCUCGGGCAUUUUUCUUAAUUACUAAAGCGUAAAAGUGCUUUGAAUUGAAUUGUACUGCUGAAACUAUUGAGUGGCUUUCAAAGGAGAGAGGAACAGGAAGUCAAGGGAGGAGCACUGAGCUCCCCAACAGGUCACAGGGAGCCAUUGUCACCUCAUGUCUAGAGACACAGAAUGAAUGAAGCUCAGGAGAGUAGGAAACUGGGGCCUGUGGCCACCCCUCUGGCAUUGGGAGGGGUGGGAACACAGCCUUCGGGUUCUUGUCAGGGGCUGGGGCCUCAACCAAGCCCUUUCCCUUUCCUGGCUGAUGCUGGGCCGGGCCAGGGCCCUUGUGAGAUUGGAAGAAUGUGUACUAAGCUUUUGCAGGCUCUUGGAUUUAAGUCUCACCUAAGUAAUCAUUGAGUAAAACGUGGCCUCAGAGCUGGAUUCGCCUUCCAGUAAACUACAGAGUCCAUGGGCUUCUCUGCAGAUGCUGCCCCAGCCCUGCCUGUGCAGGCUCCUAGCUGCAAGCCUGGGGCUUGGAGGUCAGACAUGGUGGAGAGGCUCAGGUCAGCACCCUUCCUGUCUGGAGCCUUGGCAGGCAUCAGUGGCAGUUCCUGCUAUGGCAGAUGGUGUUUGCGUUCACUGAGCUCAUUAGCUUCUGUAUGCAGCCUGUGUUUUUCCUUCCCCUUCCCCCUCUUCAGUCCUUGCCCUCUUGGACCACUUUUCUAUUGUGAGAGAUCCAUCCCUUUGUCCCUUUCUAUCUAUCCUUUAUUAUUCUCUUUCUACUUUGCCUCACUCUAAUGUGAAAUACCAUGUGGUAUUUACCUUGUUGCUCUGGUUUAUUUCACUCAACUUUGUAUUUUCCAGGUACAUUUAUUUUCAUGCAAAUAUCCCAUGUUUGUAUUCUUUAUAGCUAAGUAGUACUGCAGUACAUAUAGAUACCAUAUUUUCUUUAUCAAAUUGUCUGUUGGGGGUAUAUAAGCUGCCUUCAGGAUUUAGCUAUUACUGGUUAUGCUGCUAUAAAGAUUGGUAUGCAUGAGUAACUGUAGUAUCAAGAUCUUUGGGGGAUGUUUUACGUCUCUCUCACUGGACAUGAGAUACCGGAAACCCCGAGUUAAAGGAAUGAAUGUUUUAUAUAGUUCGGUUUGUGGAGGUUUCAGUCUGUAAUCAGAUAGAUGCAAAGCAGGUUGGCAUGGCACAGAGGCAACAUUUCAAGGUGGUAGAACACAAAGCAACAAGAGCACAGAGCAUGGGGUACAAGCCUCUUUUCCUCCCUUAUGUUGUGAGCAGGCUACCGUGGGUACAGCUCUCACAGCAUCUCCCUGCCUUCACCUUGUUCAGGAUGAGGGUGUUUACAAAGUGGGCACCUGGCCCCCUGCUGAGUCAUUUGAUUGACCCUCUGAACUUCUCAUGUUGACACAAUGAACAGCAUCCCAGAGCUGUUGGGCUUGUCCUGUUGGGUUAUUUAGUUAAGCUUCUCAAUUCUCAAGUUGAUACAGUGUAUCAACUGUGACAAGGAAGAUACUUCAAGGGGAAGACUGGGUCAUACAGUAUUUCUAAUGCUAGUUCUUUGAGAAACCCCCAUAGUUAUGCCAUAAUGCUGGUACUAAUUUACAUUCCCACCAACAAAGAAGGAUUCUUUUUUUGUGACAGCCUCAUCCAGAAUUUGAUACUGUUCUCAUUUCUUAAUGUUUGCCAUUCUUUACAGAGAAACAUGUAAAUUUUGUUUCUUUUUCCUUUUUUUAAUAAAGAAUUUAUUGAAAGAAAAAAAAGCUUCUCAGUAAGAGAAAAAUAAGGAGGUCUAGCCUCAACACGGAAUCGUAUCAGGGUUAUACAUUACAUUUCUGUAAUGGUCAGAGAUUUUGAACAUUUUUUUCAUAGACUUGUUGAUCAUUGGUAUGUCUUCCUCUGUGAAGUAUCUGUUCAUUUCUCUUGCUUAUUUUUGACAGUCUUUAAUUUCAGGUGUCUUAAUUUUUGAGUCUUUGCGUAUUAUUAGAUAUUUGUCCUCUGUCUGAGGACUACCUGGCAAAAAUUACUAUUCAGUGGCUAAGGUUCUCAUUAGAAAAUGUUUUUUGGGACUGGGGAUGUAGCUCAGUGGCACAGCACCUGCCUGUCAGGCAUGAGAUAUCAUGAGUUCAAUCCCUGGUACAAAAAAAAGAAAGAAAAAGAAUAGAAAAUAAAAUAUUAUGCUAUACUGGUAUCUUCAAGUGUUUUGUCUGUUUUAUCUUCAGAACAUCUAAUGUUUCUGUUUUAAUGUUGAUCAACUUUGAUUUUACUUUAUGUCCAGUUUCCAUCCUUGCAAACACAUAACCAGUUUUACCAGCACCAGUUGUUCAAUGGGCUGUCUUUUCUGCAGCCGAUGCUUCCGGCUCCUUUGUCUAAGAUCACGUAACUGCGUGGACAUGAUAGUGCAUAUCUCUAGUGAGAACACGCAGGAGACUGAAGCAGGAAGAUUGCUUGAGUUCAAGGCCAGCCUGUACUACAUAGGAAGUUAAAGACCAGUCUGAACUGCUUGGAGAGACACUCUCUCCACCAAAUGAAAAACAAAACAAAGCAAAAUGAAUGAAUGUGUCUGGGAAAGAUUCUAUAUCCUGUAUUCUGAUCCAUUGAUGCAUACAUCUGUUUUUCUUCCAGUAAUGUGCUAUUUUUAUCACUAUUGUUUUGUGGUAUAACUGAGAUUAGGAAUUAACUGUGCCUUCUCUUGUUUUGCUUUUGUUGCCUAAAAUUUCAUUUGCUA